AGAGUUUGAUCCUGGCUCAGGAUGAACGCUGGCGGCGUGCCUAACACAUGCAAGUCGAGCGAUUUUCUUCGGAAGAGAGCGGCGGACGGGUGAGUAACGCGUGGGUAACCUGCCUCAUACACAUGGAUAACAUACCGAAAGGUAUGCUAAUACAAGAUGAUAUAAGAGAUUCGCAUGGAUUUCUUAUCAAAGCUCCGGCGGUAUGAGAUGGACCCGCGUCUGAUUAGCUAGUUGGUAAGGUAACGGCUUACCAAGGCGACGAUCAGUAGCCGACCUGAGAGGGUGAUCGGCCACAUUGGAACUGAGACACGGUCCAAACUCCUACGGGAGGCAGCAGUGGGGAAUAUUGCACAAUGGGCGAAAGCCUGAUGCAGCAACGCCGCGUGAGCGAUGAAGGCCUUCGGGUCGUAAAGCUCUGUCCUCAAGGAAGAUGAUGACGGUACUUGAGGAGGAAGCCCCGGCUAACUACGUGCCAGCAGCCGCGGUAAUACGUAGGGGGCUAGCGUUAUCCGGAUUUACUGGGCGUAAAGGGUGCGUAGGUGGUUUCUUAAGUCAGGAGUGAAAGGCUACGGCUCAACCGUAGUAAGCUCUUGAAACUGGGAAACUUGAGUGCAGGAGAGGAGAGUGGAAUUCCUAGUGUAGCGGUGAAAUGCGUAGAUAUUAGGAGGAACACCAGUAGCGAAGGCGGCUUUCUGGACUGUAACUGACACUGAGGCACGAAAGCGUGGGGAGCAAACAGGAUUAGAUACCCUGGUAGUCCACGCCGUAAACGAUGAGUACUAGGUGUCGGGGGUUACCCACCUCGGUGCCGCAGCUAACGCAUUAAGUACUCCGCCUGGGGAGUACGCUCGCAAGAGUGAAACUCAAAUGAAUUGACGG
rnacentral:rRNA from 1 species